UACAGAGGGUGCGAGCGUUAUUCGGAAUUACUGGGCGUAAAGCGCACGUAGGUGGCUUUGCAAGUCGGGUGUGAAAUCCCCGGGCUCAACCUGGGAACUGCAUCCGAGACUGCAUUGCUAGAGUAUGGGAGAGGGAAGCGGAAUUUCUGGUGUAGCAGUGAAAUGCGUAGAUAUCAGAAGGAACAUCAGUGGCGAAGGCGGCUUCCUGGACCAAUACUGACGAUCAGGUGCGAAAGCCAGGGGAGCGAACGGG
rnacentral:rRNA from 1 species